CCUGGAGCCCUUUCUACCCUAUACAUGUCUUGGUUGCAGCUCCUUCCAAUUGACUGAUUGAUUGAUUGAUGAUUGAUUGACUGAUUGAUGCAUUGAUUCAUAGACCCUGUCAGUUGUCUCUCUAGCUCCAUGUCCACUUCCAGCCCCCUCCCCUUCGAAGCUCAAGAGGGAAUUUUUCUAUACCUAAAUGCCUCAUAUCAUUUGUGCUGUUAUAACACAAUACCCCUUUCUUGGUAGCUUAGAAAUAACAGAAAGUCCUCUUCACAGUCUAGAGGCUGAACAGCUUGAAGUCAAAAAGCAGCAAACAGUUUCCUGAACCAUCAUCUUUUCAGGAGCCUUCACAUGGUAGAAGGAGUGAGGGAGUUCCCCAGGGUCUCUUUCAUGGGCCUUGACCUUCAGGAUCCAAUCCCCUCCCAACGGACAACAUCCUCCUUGUAGAUAAAAUCCUGAAGUUCUCAUGAAUCUCUCCUGAGAAGCCUACGAAAGAUGAACUCGGACCAUCAAGAUGAUUGGAGUGUCUCCUCCUCAGGGCUCUUGGGGAACACAGGACCCUCAGCUCAGGUCAAAGCAUCCAGGAACAAGGUGAAGGCCUCCGGACAGGUGCUCAGCCCUUCUCUCUGAUCCAAAGCCAAGAAUCCCCCUCCUUUCUCACCAUAGUGGUCUCGGACUCUUGUUCUCUUCUCCUGAGCCCCAUCGUCCUGGUCAAAGGUCACAAC
rnacentral:lncRNA from 1 species